UGCCGCAGAGCGGAGUGGUCGAGCAGGCACAUAGAAUCGAGUCAUGUCCUGCAAGUAGAUGGGGGCUGUCCUGUUGGCAGCAGUGUAGGCAAGGGUCAGGGCUUUGAACCGGAUCUCCAGUGCUUUGAACCAUUAAUCUCCAGUGCACUUGAUUUACACCAGUUCUGUAAAAUUCUGACAUGAUUAAAAUGCUAAUCAUCAUAUCAAUCUUUCCCUUGUCAGAAGUAAACCAACCAGCACCUGCAAGUGACAUCUUUUUCUGUAUAGAAUGGCUGUUUCAUGGAAACCAGGACUUCUACAAAGGGAAUGCAUGCAUUUUACUCUGUGACCAUCCUGCACUCAGACUACUGGAGUUAAAUUAACACUGUCUAUUUUGAAAGGAAAUGAAAGGAAUCUGAAAUGUGGCAUUUUAAUGUCACUUUAUGGAAGUGAGCCUUCCCUCUAAGGGGACAAGUGGACCCAAACCGUGCCAGGAAAAUGGCCCCCACAGCAUAACAGAGCCAUGAGAAU